GUGGCAUCCUGACCAGAUGCCUGAACCUCCUCAUCUGGCUCCUCUCGAUGUGGAGGAGCAGCGGCUUUACUUUGAGUUCCUCUCGGAUGACAGAGCUUCUCACCCUAUCUCUAAGGGAGAGCCCCGCCACCCGGCGGAGAAAACUCAUUUCGGCCGCUUGUACCCAUGAUCUUAUCCUUUCGGUCAUGACCCAAAGCUCAUGACCAUAGGUGAGGAUGGGAACGUAUAUCGACCGGUAAAUUGAGAGCUUUGCCUUCUGGCUCAGCUCCUUCUUCACCACAACGGAUCGGUACAAUGUACGCAUUACUGAAGACGCCGCACCGAUCCGCCUGUCAAUCUCACAAUCCACUCUUCCACCGCUCGUGAACAAAAUUCCUAGGUACUUGAACUCCUCCACUUGGGGCAGGGUCUCCUCGCCAAUCCGGAUAUGGCACUCCACCCAUUUCCGGGAGAGAACCAUGGACUCACACUUGGAGGUGUGUUUCUCAUUAUGGUCGCUUCACACUCGGCUGCGAACCGAUCCAGUGAAGCUGAAGAUCCCGGCCAGAUGAAGCCAUCAGGACCACAUCAUCUGCAAAAAGCAGGGACCUAAUCCCACGGUCACCAAACCGGAACCCCUCACCGCCUUGACUGCGCCUAGAAAUUCUGUCCAUAUAAGUUAUGAACAGAAUCGGUGACAAAGGGCAGCCUUGGCGGAGUCCAACCCUCAUUGGAAACGUGUCCGACUUACUGCCGGCAAUGCGGACCAAGCUCUGACACUGAUCGUAUGGGGAGCGGACCGCCACAAUCAGACAGUCCGAUUCCCCAUACUCUCUGAGCACUCCUCACAGGACUUCCCGAGGGACACGGUCGAAUGCCUUCGCCAAGUCCACAAAGCACAUGUAGACUGGUUGGGCAAACUCCAAUGGACCCUCAAGAACCCUGCCGAGAGUAAAGAGCUGGUCCACAGUUCCAUGACCAGGACGAAAACCACACUGUUCCUCCUGAAUCCGAGGUUCGACUAUCCGGCGUAGCCUCCUCUCCAGUACACCUGAAUAAACCUUACCGGGGAGGCUGAGUCACUGCAGUCACUACACCAGAAUGUUGUGGGGAAUUUACCGGUCAAUCUACAUUCCUACCCUUAAAAAAAACGCCUCCUACAAACCCUAUUUCCAUAUGAGGUGGGAAAUUGUGUUUAGAUGUAAAUAUCAACAAAAUACAAUGAUUUGCAAAUCCUUUUAAACCUAUAUUCAAAUGAAUGCACUACAAAGACAAGAUAUUUGAUGUUCAAACUCAUAAACUUUAUUUUUUUUUGCAAAUAAUAAUUAACUUAGAAUUUCAUGGCUGCAACACGUGCCAAAGUAGUUGGGAAAGGGCAUGUUCACAUCUGUGUUACAUCACCUUUUCCUUUAACAACACUCAAUAAACGUUUGGCAACUGAGGAAACUAAUUGUUGAAGCUUUGAAAGUGGACUUCUUUCCCAUUCUUGUUUUAUGUAGAGCUUCAGUCAUUCAACAGUCCGGGGUCUCCGCUGUCGUAUUUUACGCUUCAUAUUGCGCCACACAUUUUUGAUGGGAGACAGGUCUGGACUGCAGGCGGGCCAGGAAAAUACACGCACUCUUUUUUUUACGAAGCCACGCUGUCUUAACAUGUGUUGAAUGUGGCUUGGCAUUGUCUUGCUGAAAUAAGCAGGAGCAUCUAUGAAAAAGACUGCACUUAGAUGGCAGCAUAUGUUGUUCCAAAACCUGGAUGGUACCUUUCAGCAUCAAUGGUGCCUUCACAGAUGUGUAGGUUACCCAUGCCUUGGACACUAAUGCACCCCCAUACCAUCACAGAUGCUGGCUUUUGAACUUUACGUCGAUAACAGAGUGGAUGGUUUGCUUCCCCUUUGGUCCGGAUGACACGAUGUCGAAUAUUUCCCAAAAAAAUUUGAAAUGUGGACUCGUCAUACCACAAAACACUUCUCCACUUUGCAUCAGUCCAUCUUAGAUGAUCUCGGGCCAGAGAAGCCGGUGGCGUUUCUGGAUGUUGUUGAUAAAUGGCUUUCGAUUUACAUAGUAGAGCUUUAACUUGCACUUACAGAUGUAGCGACAAAAUGUAUUUAGUGACAGUGGUUUUCUGAAGUGUUCCUGAGCCCAAGUGGUGAUAUCCUUUAGAGAUUGAUGUCGUUUUUUUGAUACAGUACCGUCUGAGGGAUCAAAGGUCACGGUCAUUCAAUGUUGGUUUCCGGCCAUGCCGCUUACGUGGAGUGAUUUCUCCAGAUUCUCUGAACCUUUUGAGGAUAUUAUGGACUGUUGAUGUUGAAAUCCCUAAAUUCCUUGCAAUUGCACUUUGAGAAACGUUGUUCUUAAACUGUUUGACUAUUUGCUCACGCUGUUGUAGACAAAGGAGUGUACCUCGCCCCAUCCUUUCUUGUGAAAGACUGAGCAUUUUUUGGGAAGCUGCUUUUAUACCCAAUCAUGGCACCCACCCUUUCUCAAUUAGCCUGCACACCUGUGGAAUGUUCCAAAUAAGUGUUUGAUGAGCAUUCCUCAACUUUAUCAGUAUUUAUUGCCACCUUUCCCAACUUCGUUGUCACGUGUUGCUGACAUUAAAUUCUAAAGUUAAUGAUUAUUUGCAAAAAAAAAAUGUAUAUCAGUUUGAACAUCAACUAUGUUGUCUUUGUAGCAUAUUCAACUGAAUAUGGGUUGAAAAUGAUUUGCAAAUCAUUGUAUUUCGUUUAUAUUUACAUCUAACACAAUUUCCCAACUCAUAUGGAAACAGAGUUUGGAACUGUGUGUCUAUUUUCAAAAGAUAUACACUGUCACGAUCCGCUACACGGAUCGUUUAUUGUUUUGCUUUGGAUUUGUUUUGAUCACGUUUGGACUCUGCCGAUCCCUUCAGUUGAACACUUCCUUGUUUACAUUCGUCACCAUGGCUACUUAAUUACGCCUCCUGCACGCACUCCCGAAACACACCUGUUUUGAUUUAUUGUGUUGUAUUUAAGACCGCCUGCUACCUCAGUUCCUCGUCGCCAGUUUGUUUGCAUCCCGCAACAGUUACGUUAGUUUUGUCUUUCUGUAUUCUCUCUGCUAAGUAUGGCUUAGCCUCCGCGCGCUCGGCUCUCGCUGUAUGGACUUUUUGAACUCUGCCUUUUGCUCACGUUUGUGUUCUGCUUCCCGUGCGUUGGCACACCUUUUCUUUCCGCGUUGUACAAGUGUUCUUUUAGUUGUAUUUUAUAAUUAAAACCUGUUCCUACCUUCAAUUCUGCCUGCUGUUAUCCCGUGCAUCGAGGGGUGACACUCCCCGCACAUCCGCGAUGCGACGCUAUCGUAACAUACACACUUUUCCAAACACCACAUUCAAUUUUCUUACUUCCUAUGUUUGCAAAAUGACACACUUAUGUCAAAACGUAUGCCCAUUCAUCAAAAUAAAGCAAGCAUUUGUACCCUGCGAUGAGGUGGCGACUUGUCCAGGGUGUACCCUGCCUUCCGCCCGAUUGUAGCUGAGAUAGGCGCCAGCGCCCCCCGCGACCCCGAAAGGGAAUAAGCGGUAGAAAUGGAUGGAUGGACAGUUUCAUUUUCAUCUCUCUCACACAGACUUCAAAUGAUAAGACACUAUUGGAGUGAGUUACCCAGAACAGUGACAAAUACAAAACACAUUUGUAAAAAAACCCUAUUUUACUAUGAGAAAUCACAUGUUUGGGGCUAUUUGUCUAACCUUUUUAGCAUAUGUGAUGAAUGAUUACUGUAACUUGAAAAAAUAUAUUAGCAAAUCCAUAGCAAUCAUUAUUAUUUACUUUGAAGUGGGCCUAUACUUAAGGACCUAAAUUAAAACUAGAAAUAUCCUGUAAACCUUUGAAGAACUGCUCAAAAAUGAUGUUACAAACAGAAAAUAUUUAUUUUUACCACAGUCAGGUAAAGUAACAUAUCACAGUUGUCAACAAUGAUAUGCAGUACAAAUUCAAAUCCGAGAUAAAAGGGUUCGAAAAAAAUUCUGGAGAAAAAAAUUACAAAUGGAAAAAAACUGUACAGUUGUAGCAACCACUUGAAAGCUGUAUUUCCAAUGUACCACCUGUGUGUCUUUACACCUGGUGGAUGUGAUCAUCCAAUGUGUCCAAUUGUGCGCUCGAUGGCGAGCCAGCCAUUUGGAUUGACCAGGAAGUAACUUGAUUGAUUGAUUGAUUGAUUGAAACUUUAAUUAGCAGAUUGCACAGUACAGUACAUAUUCCGUACAAUUGCCCACUAAAUGGUAACACCCGAAUAAUUUUUUCAAUUUGUAUAAGUCAGGGUCCACUUAAAGCAAUUCAUGGCACAAAUAUAUACUAUCGGCAUUAUACAGUCAUCAAACAAGUUAAUCAUCAGAGUAUAUAUGACAGCUUAUUAACUAGAGUUGUGGCUAUGCUGGUGAAAAACGUGUUAAGUCUGCUUCCUACCUCCAUUUUGUCUGUAAUGAGGGAGUCGCCCUCCUGGAUGUUGAUGUUGGUGAGUCUGGUUUUAAGUUUCUGGCUGCAGCCAGGAAGCUGGUUGUUGAGGAUUUACCAGAGCUCACGUGGCUUAUUUGUGUUUUCCUCUAUUUUGUCGUUAAUGUAAUUUUUUUUUUAAAGGAUUUAGUCAGGUUGGUUGUCUUGUUUUUUGAUUUAUUGCAUUGCUUUUUGAGUGUUGAAAGGGGUGAUUUGAGGUUAUUAUUGGGUUAUUUAUCUACUUCGGUUUUACACUUUUGAUAUUCGAAAUAAUUUUUGUCUCUGUCUUUUAUGGCACCUAAUAGGUCCGGAUUCAUCCAUGGUUCAGAGCAGGCUUUGAUCCUGGGAGCCAUAUCAUUUACUAUUGCUAGGAACGCUGUUUUGAAGCGAUCCCAAGCAUCAUUGACCAGGUUGCUCGUGAGCACAGGGGAACAGUCCCACUCACCUAAUUUUAGGUUGAAAUUAUAACUGGAGUAUGUUUUAAGGGAUGUGGAUGGAGCUGUUAUGUGGCCGUUGGCUUUGUUUUUAGGUAUUUUGCGGGUGCAGAAUGUCAUGAUCCCACUUCACAAUCCUUAUCUUUGUGUAAGGUGUAAAGAUGUGUGUAUCACAAUCUUAGUGUGUGUGUAAUGUGUUCAAAUGUGUGUAUCACAAUCGUUAUCUGUGUGCAAGAUGGGAAGGUGUGUGGAAAGCGUUCUGUGUAUUAUUUAGCAAAAAAUGUGACGCAGUCUAUGCCUAAUAUUGGACAAAUUUGUAAAGUGGUUUUGUUUACUGUGUGUAGACUUUUGUUAACUGUGAAAAUUUAAAAUUUAGUGUGUAAGCAAUUGGAAAAAACUAAUGUGAAUAGUGUAUAGGGACGGUUACAAUGUAUAUAAGGUGAAUAAAUGUUGUGAACCAUCGGUUUGAGGACCAUCUUUUCAACCGUGGAUGCGAGAGUAAUAAUCACAUAUUUUUCUGUUGUUUGGAUACUUGACAUUAUUUUUGGGCUGUACCACAACUUUAGGUGCACAACCCAACACCAAGUAAGGCAAGGCAAGUUUAUUCAUGGAGCACAAUUGGUACAUAAAGCAAGUAAAAGUGGUUUAUAAAAUAAUACAAGAAGGCAAAAAUAAAAACAAAACAAUCAUGAUUGAAAUUUAAAUCAAAUAAUAUAUUCAUCAUAAACGAUCACGUUUGAAUUAAAAUCAAAGAGUGUAGAUAACAUACAUUCAGUAGACAUAAAUAAAUAAAAGCUUGGGAGGGACAAGUGGUAGGAAAUGGAUGGAUGGAUGUUGCCAGCCUGGAUUUGAUCAUUGAUGUACUGUACGUAAAAAGUACAACAAUGUAUUGUAAAUAAUAACUUUUAAAUAUAUUAAUAUAAUAAUAAACUUGAACGUGUUUACCGUGGGCAUGAAUGGAGUGCGUUACUAAAAUGUUGUGGUGGAUUAAAUAUAUUGUAGCGUUCCGGAAGAGUUGGUGCUACAAGGGGUUCUGUGUAUUUGUUCUGUUGAUUUUAUGUUGUGUUGCGAUGCGGAUGUUCUUCCAAAUAGUGUUUGUCAUUCUUGUUUGGUGUGGUUUUAGGGUGUGGCGCAUGUUCGUGACAGUGUUGGAGUUGUUUAUGUGGCCACUCUUAGUGUGACACGUAUAUCUGUUAAACGAGUAUGCCUUUCAUUCGUGUAUGCCAUCACAGUGAAAUUAAUUUCAAUCAUGCAGUUUUUCAGCAUUCCUAGGCAUCUUUUAGGUAAAGCCCAUUGACAACCCGUCCAACCCUAUAAUAUAAAUUCCUAACCUUGAAAAUGACUCACUUUAAUCAUGAAAAUGACUCACUCGGAGCCACGUGCGUUGCCAUGUGAACAUUGCCCAUGUUUAUGUUGUGAAUGUGUUCUCCAGAAACGAAACUUUUUCUGACAGUAAAUGCGUGAAAGCACAUUUCGUUUCCAGAAGCGCCCUCUCACAUCUAGUCCACUAUUUGAACUCCAUGCAGGCUGGUAGUGCAAAGACUAGGCGACACCAUGGGAUUGAGUUCGAGUACUUCGUCGGAUGAGGCUGAAUCGGAUGUGAGAAGAAUGGGGUUCACCUCAGAUGGGAUAACAAAAUGAUCCCAAAGGGCUGCAGAUAUGAUGUCAUCUGAAGCCAUCGACAAUGGAGGAGGGGUUCCAUCAGGGGGCCCGGUAUCUAACUAUCAGUCCAUUGGUAAAUACAGUAAAUAUAAUGUUAUGUCAUGACCUAUUUGAGGAAGAAAUGCCUGUAAUUUAACAUUAGGUUCAAACAAAUAACCAAAUAACAAAACCAUGAAAUAAAUGAUAAUAUUGGUCUAUUAAACUGUGUUCUGAACGCA